rnacentral:rRNA from 1 species
GACGAACGCUGGCGGCGUGCUUAACACAUGCAAGUCGAGCGGUAAGGCCCUUUCGGGGGUACACGAGCGGCGAACGGGUGAGUAACACGUGGGUGACCUGCCCUCAGCUCUGGGAUAAGCCUGGGAAACCGGGUCUAAUACUGGAUAUGACUCCAUGACGCAUGUUGUGGGGUGGAAAGCCUUGUGCGGCUGAGGAUGGGCCCGCGGCCUAUCAGCUUGUUGGUGGGGNGAUGGCCUACCAAGGCGACGACGGGUAGCCGGCCUGAGAGGGCGACCGGCCACACUGGGACUGAGACACGGGCCCAGACUCCUACGGGAGGCAGCAGUGGGGAAUCUUGCGCAAUGGGCGAAAGCCUGACGCAGCGACGCCGCGUGAGGGAUGAC